GCAAACUCCGAAUACCUAUGAGUACUAUCCGGGAGACAGACUGCGGGUGCUAACGUCCGUAGUCAAGAGGAAAACAAUCCAGACCGCCAGCUAAGGCCCCAAAAUCAUAGUUAAGUGGGAAACGAUGUGGGAAGGCAUAGACAGCUAGGAGGUUGGCUUAGAAGCAGCCACCCUUUAAAGAAAGCGUAAUAGCUCACUAGUCGAGUCGGCCUGCGCGGAAGAUGUAACGGGGCUAAAACUAUGUGCCGAAGCUGCGGAUGUAUACUUUGUAUACGUGGUAGGGGAGCGUUCUGUAAGCCGAUGAAGGUGUGUUGAGAAGCAUGCUGGAGGUAUCAGAAGUGCGAAUGCUGACGUGAGUAACGACAAAACGGGUGAAAAACCCGUUCGCCGAAAGACCAAGGGUUCCAGUCCAACGUUAAUCGGGGCUGGGUGAGUCGACCCCUAAGGCGAGGCCGAAAGGCGUAGUCGAUGGGAAAAUGGUUAAUAUUCCAUUACUUCUGUGUAAUGCGAUGAGAGGACGGAGAAGGCUAAAUCAGCCUGGCGUUGGUUGUCCAGGUGAAAGGAUGUAGGCAUGUAUCUUAGGCAAAUCCGGGGUACUCUAUGCUGAGAUCUGAUAGCAAGCUGUACUUGUACAGCGAAGUGGUUGAUGCCAUGCUUCCAGGAAAAGUCUCUAAGCUUCAGUUACACAGGAAUCGUACCCGAAACCGACACAGGUGGUCAGGUCGAGUAGACCAAGGCGCUUGAGAGAACUCUGCUGAAGGAACUAGGCAAAAUGGUACCGUAACUUCGGGAGAAGGUACGCUGUUGUUGGUGAUGGAACUCGCUUCCUGAGCUGACGACAGCCGCAGAAACCAGGCCGCUGCAACUGUUUAUUAAAAACAUAGCACUCUGCAAACACGAAAGUGGACGUAUAGGGUGUGAUGCCUGCCCGGUGCUGGAAGGUUAAUUGAUGGGGUUAGCGUAAGCGAAGCUCUUGAUCGAAGCCCCAGUAAACGGCGGCCGUAACUAUAACGGUCCUAAGGUAGCGAAAUUCCUUGUCGGGUAAGUUCCGACCUGCACGAAUGGCAUAAUGAUGGCGGCGCUGUCUCCAGCAGAGGCUCAGUGAAAUCGAAAUCGCUGUGAAGAUGCAGUGUACCCGCGGCUAGACGGAAAGACCCCGUGAACCUUUACUGCAGCUUGACACUGAACUUUGACCUUACUUGUGUAGGAUAGGUGGGAGGCUUUGAAGCUGGAACGCUAGUUCCAGUGGAGCCGUCCUUGAAAUACCACCCUGGUAAUGUUGAGGUUCUAACUCUGUCCCGUGAUCCGGGACGAGGACCGUGUCUGGUGGGUAGUUUGACUGGGGCGGUCUCCUCCUAAAGAGUAACGGAGGAGUACGAAGGUGCGCUCAGCGUGGUCGGAAAUCACGCGUAGAGUAUAAAGGCAAAAGCGCGCUUAACUGCGAGACCCACAAGUCGAGCAGGUACGAAAGUAGGUCUUAGUGAUCCGGUGGUUCUGUAUGGAAGGGCCAUCGCUCAACGGAUAAAAGGUACUCUGGGGAUAACAGGCUGAUACCGCCCAAGAGUUCAUAUCGACGGCGGUGUUUGGCACCUCGAUGUCGGCUCAUCUCAUCCUGGGGCUGAAGCAGGUCCCAAGGGUAUGGCUGUUCGCCAUUUAAAGAGGUACGCGAGCUGGGUUUAGAACGUCGUGAGACAGUUCGGUCCCUAUCUACCGUGGGCGCUGGAAAUUUGAGAGGAUCUGCUCCUAGUACGAGAGGACCAGAGUGGACGAACCUCUGGUGUACCGGUUGUGACGCCAGUCGCAUCGCCGGGUAGCUAUGUUCGGAAGGGAUAACCGCUGAAAGCAUCUAAGCGGGAAGCCUACCUCAAGAUAAGAUUUCCCUAGGACUUUAUGUCCUCUAAAGAGCCGUUCGAGACUAGGACGUUGAUAGGUUGGAUGUGGAAGCAUAGUGAUAUGUGAAGCUGACCAAUACUAAUUGCUCGUGAGGCUUGACUAU
rnacentral:rRNA from 1 species